CCAUUCUUUAGUCCCAAUUACCACUUUUUGCCGUCCCAAAAUUUUUGUCCCACUUUAGAACUAAAUGGCUAGAAGUCAAGGAAUUUUCCAUUUUACCCUUCCUAUUAAUGUUGCAUCAAUUUUACUCCUAAAAAGAUUCAAGGUAAAAUUGGAAAAUCAAGUGAUCAAACAUGCAAUUAUUAUGUCUCCUUAUUAAUUUAGAAUCCCGAAAAGGGGGUAAAUAAUGGGGACGGAGGGAGUAGCAAAACUCGAAAAUUUCUUGUCAGAGCUCCACAAUAAUGUACAUUGAUUACUCAAGUUGAUAACUUAUAAUAUUUCAGUCUAAUUAAACUAUGAUCCAUACUUCAUUCAGAAACAACAGUAAGUUGAUAAGGAAAGAGACCCAGGAUGUAAGUUUAGAGUCAAAUCACAUCUGCAAAUCGGUCACGACAAAACACUUGAUCCACCACUAAAUACCAUUUCUUACUGAACGAAUGAGUCAACUUACUAUUCCUAUCUAAAAUAGGAUUUGCACUCAUCAAGCACUACUCCAACAAGGUCUUUCAAUAUAUAAGCAGAUUCCCUAGGUACAAUUUAGAACAUAGUUCAUUCAACUAUAUGCACAUUUCCCGCGAUUUACAAGCAACAAGGAGUUGACGACGAAUUUGUUUUGGAGACAUGUAUAAAGACCAAGCAAAAUAGUUAAAAACUGCCCACUCAUCUUCCCAUCACUCACGAGCAAACCCCGGAUCCACCACUAAAUACCAUUUCCAAUCUGGCAGAGAAGUCAACUAAGAAUUCAUAGUCAGAAUAAGGGUCUGCACUUAUCAAUUACACCUCAAUUAAGGUCUUUAGGCACAUAGGUAGAUUAAUCCAAUCAAACAAUUAAAAAGUACCACCAGCAAACUACAGAUCCACCAUUAAGUACCAUUACCAAGCUUAAAAAAUAUGUCAACCAAAAAUUCAAAGCUAAAAUUAGGGGUUUUUUACUGGUACAAAAAAAAAAAUUACCGUUUGCAAUCACCAAAAGCACGACUUAAUGAAGGUCUUUAGGCACCUAAGUAGAUUCAUCGAAUCAAACAAUUAAAAAGUGCCCAAAUUUAUAUCACAGAUCCACAAUUAAGUAACCAUUUCCUGGCUAAAAGGGAUGUCAACUAAAACUCCGAGGCCAAAAUUAGGGUUUGCAAUCGUCAAUAAGCACGGCUUUAUUAAGGUCUUCAGAUUCAUAGGUAGAUUCAUCCAAUCAAACUACAACAAAUCAAUAUGGUUUUUAAAGGAAAUAGAAAGUUCUUAACAAACGAAGAAUUC